rnacentral:rRNA from 1 species
UACGUAGGUGACAAGCGUUGUCCGGAUUUACUGGGCGUAAAGAGCGCGCAGGCGGUCGAUCAAGUCGAGUGUGAAAGCCCCCAGCUCAACUGGGGAAGUGCCUUGGAAACUGCCGGUCUCGAGGGAGGUAGGGGCAUGUGGAACUUCGGGUGGAGCGGUGAAAUGCGUUGAUAUCCGAAGGAACGCCGGUGGCGAAAGCGACGUGCUGGACCUCUACUGACGCUGAGGCGCGAAAGCCAGGGGAGCAAACGGG